UACGUAGGGUGCGAGCGUUGUCCGGAAUUACUGGGCGUAAAGAGCUCGUAGGUGGUUUGUCGCGUUGUUCGUGAAAACUCACAGCUUAACUGUGGGCGUGCGGGCGAUACGGGCAGACUGGAGUACUGCAGGGGAGACUGGAAUUCCUGGUGUAGCGGUGGAAUGCGCAGAUAUCAGGAGGAACACCGGUAGCGAAGGCGGGUCUCUGGGCAGUAACUGACGCUGAGGAGCGAAGGCGUGGGGAGCGAACAGG
rnacentral:rRNA from 1 species